rnacentral:rRNA from 1 species
AGAGACAGCAGCAGCCGCGGGAAUACGAAGGGGGCUAGCGUUGUUCGGAAUCACUGGGCGUAAAGGGUGCGUAGGCGGGAUCUUAAGUCAGGGGUGAAAUCCCGAGGCUCAACCUCGGAACUGCCUUUGAUACUGGGGUCCUUGAGUCCGGAAGAGGUGAGUGGAACUGCGAGUGUAGAGGUGAAAUUCGUAGAUAUUCGCAAGAACACCGGUGGCGAAGGCGGCUCACUGGUCCGGAACUGACGCUGAGGCACGACAGCGUGGGGAGCAAACAGGAUUAGAUACCCGCGUAGUCCCUGUCUCUUAUAC